GAUGAACGCUAGCGGCAGGCUUAAUACAUGCAAGUCGAGGGGCAGCACAGAUAGCAAUAUUGGGUGGCGGCCGGCAAACGGGUGCGGAACACGUACACAACCUUCCUUUUGGUGGGGGAUAGCCUUUGGAACAGGAGAUUAAUACCCCAUAAGAUAUUGUGACCGCAUGGUUAUGAUAUUAAAGAUUUAUUGCCAGAAGUUGGGUUUGCGUAUGAUUAGGUAGUUGGUGAGGUAAAGGCUCACCAUGCCGACGAUCAUUAACUGGUGUGAGAGCACGACCAGUCACACGGGCACUGAGACACGGGCCCGACUCCUACGGGAGGCAGCAGUAAGGAAUAUUGGUCAAUGGACGGAAGUCUGAACCAGCCAUGCCGCGUGGAGGAUGAAGGUCCUCUGGAUUGUAAACUUCUUUUAUAUGGGGCGAAAAAGGGCCAUUCUUGGUCAACUGACGGUACCAUAUGAAUAAGCACCGGCUAACUUCGUGCCAGCCGCCGCGGUAAAAC
rnacentral:rRNA from 1 species